GUCGAGUUGGUGGCGGUAUAUCAAAGAGCUUUUGUUAACCGCCCCCUCGAGUGGAGUGGAGGAUAAAUGUGUAGACGGAGAGGACGUCACAAACUGUUGAAAGCGCAAAGUGAAAGAUAUAUGACUUCAAUUUGCAAAAAUUGUACCACCUCAGUAAAGUGGGCAAGGACUCGCAGAUAACAAAAGGUUUACUAUUUGGUGUCUAGGAAACGUUACAUUUGAAGUCUACUAAGCUGGAUUUAGUCAACAGGAUUGCUUGCAUAUCGAAUAUGAUAAAAGCAUAACGUUGAACAUUAAAGCAAAUGGAAGAUCAUAUGGAUUCACUUUUCGCUGGAUUUAUGGCGUAAGGAAACUGUGAGUUGAUGUCCAGACAUAGAUGAAGGAUAUCCCACCAUAGGAAACACAAUGACUCUAGAAAUGCAAACCACUUCAAAUCCAGUAAGUGCCAUCAAUAUCCACAAGACCUGCUGGACACCAGUCAACGCACCAGGAGGCUGCACCGA